GCGAACGUAGUUCAGUGGUAGAACAUCACCUUGCCAAGGUGGGGGUCGCGGGUUCGAACCCCGUCGUUCGCU
rfam:Trichuris trichiura, WGS project CBXK01000000 data, contig: TTRE_1759